CAGUAGCCGCGGUAAUACGAAGGGUGCAAGCGUUAAUCGGAAUUACUGGGCGUAAAGCGUGCGUAGGCGGUGAGUUAAGUCUGCUGUGAAAUCCCCGGGCUCAACCUGGGAAUGGCAGUGGAUACUGGCUCGCUAGAGUGUGUCAGAGGAUGGUGGAAUUCCCGGUGUAGCGGUGAAAUGCGUAGAGAUCGGUAGGAACAUCAGUGGCGAAGGCGGCCAUCUGGGACAACACUGACGCUGAGGCACGAAAGCGUGGGGAGCAAACAGGAUUAGAUACCCCUGUAGUCCCUGUCUCUUAUAC
rnacentral:rRNA from 1 species